AUAUCAAUAAGCGGAGGAAAAGAAACCAACAGGGAUUCCCCUAGUAACGGCGAGUGAAGAGGGAAAAGCUCAAAUUUAAAAUCUCACUGGUUUCCAGUGCGAAUUGUAGUUUCAAGAAGCGUUUUCUGGGAUGUUCUGAGCUCAAGUCCGCUGGAAUGCGGCGCCAUAGAGGGUGAGAGCCCCGUUGAGCAUGGAAUUCAUUCCUGUAUGAUACGUCUUCAAAGAGUCGGAUAGUUUGGGAAUGCUGUCCAAAAUGGGUGGUAAAUACCAUCUAAAGCUAAAUAUUGGCAUGAGACCGAUAGCGCACAAGUA
rnacentral:rRNA from 1 species